GAAGCCCAAAGAAGUGAAAUAUUUUAUUGGGGAUGAAUCAACAGAUCCUAACAACAACAUUACCAUGACGAAUGAAGAUCUCCUGCAGCCUGGACACGUAGUGAAGGAAAGAUGGAGAGUUGUGAGAAAAAUUGGUGGAGGGGGUUUUGGCGAAAUCUACGAAGGAUUAGAUCUGGCCACACGAGAACAAGUUGCUCUCAAAGUGGAAUCCUCAAGACAGCCAAAGCAAGUCCUGAAGAUGGAAGUAGCUGUCCUUAAAAAGCUUCAAGGAAAAGAACACAUUUGCCGAUUUAUAGGAUGUGGCCGUAAUGAAAGAUUUAAUUAUGUUGUUAUGCAAUUGCAAGGGAAAAAUCUUGCAGAACUACGAAGAGCUCAGGAGCGUGCAGCGUUUUCACUAUCUACUACAUUACGUCUAGGCCUUCAGAUACUUAAAGCAAUUGAAAGUAUUCAUCAAGUGGGCUUCCUUCAUAGAGAUAUUAAACCAUCAAACUUUUCCAUUGGUCGAUUUCCUCACAAUAGUCGGAGGGUGUAUAUGCUUGAUUUUGGAUUAGCUCGUCAGUAUACCACUGCCACUGGGGAAGUUAGAGCUCCGAGAGCUGCUGCCGGUUUCCGGGGUACUGUUAGAUAUGCUUCAAUCAAUGCACAUAAAAAUAAGGAAAUGGGGCGUCAUGAUGAUUUGUGGUCAUUAUUUUAUAUGUUGGUUGAAUUUGUGAAUGGUCAAUUGCCAUGGAGGAAAAUCAAAGACAAAGAACAAGUUGGACUGAUGAAAGAAAGAUAUGAUCACCGCCUUUUGCUCAAACACCUUCCUUCUGACCUAAGACAGUUUUUAGAACAUGUUCAGAGCCUAGAAUAUGCUGAUAAGCCUGACUAUGCUAUGUUAAUGGGCUUAUUUGAGCGCUGCAUGAAACGAAGAGGGGUGAAGGAAAAUGAUCCAUAUGAUUGGGAAAAGGCUGGAAAUUCUGUAGACAAUGCCCUUCCUCCCACAAAUACCUCCACUUCCCCUGCAAUCAUUAGCCGCACUGCACCAGGUGCUCAUGUUGGCCAUCAUGGUACUAAUAACAAUCAAGAAAACAUUGAGCCAGAUAACAAAAAAGAGUUGGAGGCGCAACUAGAUUCAGCUGCUAACUUUAGAAGGUGGCUUCGACUUCAUCCCUCUCAACAGGAGACUACCACUCCACCUCUUAGUGCAGAAACAAACCGUGAUAAUAUGGUCAUAGAUAAAAACUGCAAUGCAACUCAGCCCUCAGACCUUAAUAGUUCUCAAGCUCAACAGCAAGGUUCCCCCAAGAAGCAAUAUCCUCAAAGAAGGGCAGUUUCUAUGGUCGGUGUUGAAUCACAACAGCACAGAACAUCUGGAUUGGAUAGCCUCGAAGCACUUUAUUCUGGUUUACCUAGUGCUACUCCAAACCACACUGAGAAAGGAAUUGAUUGUGAAGGAGAUGCAGUUAUGGCAUCAGCCCGAUCACAAUCUGACCGAGCUCGAAAGGUAGCAGGUGCCAAUCAAAAUCAAGCACGUAAAUCAGCAGGUGCUACAUUUGGACGGCUAAGAGUAGUUACAGCUCCUGCUACUUGUGUACAAGAUCUUGGUAAUCAAAAAGCUGCUAGCAAUGGAAGUGUGGCUGCUGAUGGGGAAACUGCAAGUGGGCCGGCACACACCCCUGGGACUAGCACUCCAGGUGCAAGUACUCCUGCCGAUGUAGAAUUGCCAAGCCCGCGUGUCAGAGAAACCACCACUGAGGCUGAUUAUUCUUAUGAUACCAAACCGGAAUCAUCUGCUGGAGGGGGAGCUGGUGGCUCUCCAGUCACUGAUCAGCGGGAACCUCUGCGAGAAAGAUCAGCAUCCAGAGAACACAGGCAGCGGCGGGCUGUAUCUGCUAGUAGGCCUGUUAGCUGCAAAUUCAACAACAGAGAUGCAUCAUUUACUCAAUUUGCUGUAAUUGAUGAUGACAACGUGUCUGCGCUCCAACAAGUCACCAGAGGUGGUGGAGGCCUUACUUUAGCAUCUCAAUGGAAAUCUCAGUUUGAUGAUUCUGAAGAGACUGAUAAUGAGUGGAGAGGGGAGAACCUACAGAGUCCAGAACACCGCCAGAACACAUCUUCUCAGGCUGCUUUCCCAGUUGAUGGAGCAGUGUCAUUGGCAAUGAGUGAAUCAUCAAAACCUCCUGCGGUGCCAAACAAUACAUCCCAGGUUAUUGCCAAUCAAACUACUAUCUCGCCUCCACCUGGGAAAACAACCACUGCACAGCAAUUGAGUCGUAUCAGUGAGGACUCAAAGCAAAGCCAUCUUCUUUCCCCUCAGCAGGAAACUCAUCUUGCAACUGUAACAACAAACAACACUGAAAAUUUGUCAAAACCUCAGGGGGUGGUAAACACUGCACCGCACUCUGCUCGUGCAGGAUCUCCUCGUUGCCUUAACAUUGCAGGCAUAGAGAAUUUCAAAGAACUGCAGGGUGCUCUUCCUCGGGCCUGGAGUCUACCUCAGCUAACUGAGGUUAUCAGGCCUGGUUUGGAACCACCACUGCUACAACAGGCUGCAUUUGAUGAACUUGUGUAUGAAGUAGACAUAAUGCGUAAUAUGGCUACUCGCCAUACUCAGGAUGAGAAAGAAGCACAAGAAAAAGAAGCUUUUCGCAGACCAAGCCUACCUAUACUUCCACUAAGCUCUCCUGAUCAGAGCGAACCUGCUGCUAAGCCACCAUCUGAACAAGUUCCUGAUACAUCACUAUCAGUAAUUCCUCACAGUAGCAGUGGUAACAAUAAUAUGGCACAAGGGAAGUCCUCUCCACCCCAGUCUCAUCCUUUAAUAAAGACAGAGAAACCACUCAGUCAUGAUGCUGAAGAAAAUGCUGGGGAAGAGGAGGAAGAAGAAGAAGAUGAAGACGAAGAUGAUGACGAGGUUGAGAAAAGACUUGAGCCUGUUGCGGGCCGAUUAGAGAUUCGUGUUGUUGAUAGAGGCGCCAGUGAUCGGCCUUCAAGUGCCAGUGAUCAGUUAGUAAAUGGUGGAAUUGCAACGGGACCAAUACCUUCUCGCGCCAGCAGUGCUAGUCCCAAUUUGGGCUUAAGACCAGCAUCAGCGCCAACCCAGCAUGCUGCAAACCCCCAUGUAACCAGGUCUCAGCCUCCCUUGCCUGAAGGAGUAAGGGUUGUCAGAGGUCUCGCCAAUGGAGGUAGCAGCCCUGUCAGUCCUGGGGCUGGACUUGAUGACCCAUCAGUUUACUUUGAUGCUCCUGAAGACCAGGUGUGUGGGGAUGCCAAACCUCGUCCUCUCUCUGCUCAUGUUGUCAAUAAUGUCCGAGGGUCUUCAGAGACAGCAAAUCAGGCAAGUUCAAGCGACAGUGGAACUACUGGCUCUUCUGCCCCAGUAUUAAGGAGAGCCACCCAAAAUCUGCCACCAGUCGUGGAAACUUGUCCACCAGCAAUGUUUAUGGAUGGGCAACAACUACCUCCAGGCCGUGUUGUAAGGCGACAUUCCAGUCACUCAAGUGUCACUGGCGGUGGAAGUGCCAGCAGUAGCAGCAGUGUUGCCGCUGCAGUCAAAGGAAGCAAGAUUCCUGUCCCUGUCACAAGAAGCCCUCGUGCUUCACUUGUGCUGAGUGAACAUAGCUGGUGUACUGAUGAAGAUCGCUUGACUCGCCGUUUGAGUCAACUUAUAAUUGGACCGGUGGGUGCAGAUGAUGCACCCAAUGAAUCAGAGCAACUUCUUGAGACAUCACCUUCCUCCAUGUCUGUACCUUUGAGACGUUGUCAAACCGUUCCUGAUGCAAGAUCUUCAAAUAACAAUUCAUCGGCUGAAGAUGAGCAAGCCCUAACCGGUUGCACACCUGGCCUUCGUAAAAGACGUGAAAGAGCCGAAAAGUAUGUGACUGAUCAGUCACAACUCAAUUUGCGGUUCCAUCGACCUCAACGACAUCGUCAACGACCUGUGUCUGAAGUGGUGGGUUCAUCAGUUCAGACUCCCUCUCAAACAACUCAGCAGCAAAGGCAGAGGGCUGCUGUAUUUUGAGUAGCGCUGGAUUUGAGUCCUGGUCCCCCACUCCAACUUUUCCACCUUGCAAGUUUUUCAUCCACAUUUGGUUAGUGCUCCCCCUGGUGCACCGGGAAACACCGGUAGUCGUGAUUUACAUGGAAUUCCAAGUAACCUUCUGGGUCCAUUUCCGGGCGAUCACUAUUCUUCAGACUCUUCUGAUUCUUCUGGUGACAAUGUCCCUCCA
rnacentral:misc_RNA from 1 species